rnacentral:rRNA from 1 species
GAUGAACGCUGGCGGCGUGCCUAAUACAUGCAAGUCGAGCGAACGGACGAGGAGCUUGCUUCUCUGAUGUUAGCGGCGGACGGGUGAGUAACACGUGGAUAACCUACCUAUAAGACUGGGAUAACUUCGGGAAACCGGAGCUAAUACCGGAUGAUAUUUUGAACCGCAUGGUUCAAAAGUGAAAGACGGUCUUGCUGUCACUUAUAGAUGGAUCCGCGCUGCAUUAGCUAGUUGGUAAGGUAACGGCUUACCAAGGCAACGAUGCAUAGCCGACCUGAGAGGGGGAUCGCCCACACUGGAACUGAAACACGGUCCAGACCCCAACGGGAGGCAGAGGUGGGAAAUUUUCCGAAAGGGGCGAAAGCCUACCGGAGCAACGCCGGGGGGGUGAUGAAGGUCUUCGGAUCGUAAAACUCUUUUAUGAGGGAAAAACAAAUGUGAAAGUAACUGUGCACAUCUUGACGUUACCUAAUCAAAAAGCCCCGGCUAACUCCGU